rnacentral:rRNA from 1 species
ACGGGAGGCAGCAGUGGGGAAUAUUGCACAAUGGGGGAAACCCUGAUGCAGCGACGCCGCGUGAGUGAAGAAGUAUUUCGGUAUGUAAAGCUCUAUCAGCAGGGAAGAAAAUGACGGUACCUGACUAAGAAGCUCCGGCUAAAUACGUGCCAGCAGCCGCGGUAAUACGUAUGGAGCAAGCGUUAUCCGGAUUUACUGGGUGUAAAGGGAGCGUAGACGGGACAGCAAGUCUGAUGUGAAAGGCGGGGGCUUAACCCCUGGACUGCAUUGGAAACUGUUGACCUUGAGUGUCGGAGAGGUAAGCGGAAUUCCUAGUGUAGCGGUGAAAUGCGUAGAUAUUAGGAGGAACACCAGUGGCGAAGGCGGCUUACUGGACGGUAACUGACGUUGAGGCUCGAAAGCGUGGGGAGCAAACAGGAUUAGAUACCCUGGUA